rnacentral:rRNA from 6 species
UAAACGACUCUCGGCAACGGAUAUCUCGGCUCUCGCAUCGAUGAAGAACGUAGCGAAAUGCGAUACUUGGUGUGAAUUGCAGAAUCCCGUGAACCAUCGAGUCUUUGAACGCAAGUUGCGCCCGAAGCCAUUAGGUUGAGGGCACGUCUGCCUGGGCGUCUCGC